ACUGCCUGCAGGCAACUUUGUGCAAAGAGUCGAGCUAGCUCUUCUUUCUAAGAUUCUUUCUUCCUUUAUUCCUGUAAAGAGACAAAACGGUUAGAAAAGAGAACAAUCGACCAGUUUUUACAAACUUCCUACUCAUCUUCCGGCGAGAUUACGGCUCUUUCUUGGCUAUCGACAAAACAAGGGCAAUGAGGAAAGUGGAACUGACCAAACAUGGAAGACCUGCCAUCCUUCUGAACGCAAGAGAAGGCGGAAGUGUCAACAUUCGCUUCAAAUGCGAACGGACGGAAAGAAAAACGAGAAGCACGUUUUACGGCUAAUAUAAGAAGUAAUUAAUAAAUCGUUUGGUAAUCUCAUA